UGCAGCUGUAGGCAACUGCCUAGGUUGCUUAGUACCUAGGUAAGUGUUAUACUGUUGAGAAAAAAGCAUCCAGUAGCUGAAGGACAUU
ensembl:snoRNA SNORA74 Small nucleolar RNA SNORA74